rnacentral:rRNA from 1 species
AGAGUUUGAUCAUGGCUCAGGAUGAACGCUGGCGGCGUGCCUAAUACAUGCAAGUCGAACGGUCGGCCUUCGGGCCGAUAGUGGCGAACGGGUGAGUAACGCGUUGGUGACCUGCCCCGAAGUGAGGGAUACCAGGCCGAAAGGCCUGCUAAUACCGCAUGAGCUAGCCAUAGCUUAGGAAGUGGUUAGGAAAGGAGAAAUCCGCUUUGGGAGGGGCCUGCGUCCCAUCAGCUAGUUGGUAAGGUAACGGCUUACCAAGGCGAUGACGGGUAGGGGACCUGAGAGGGUGACCCCCCACAAUGGAACUGAAACACGGUCCAUACACCUACGGGUGGCAGCAGUAGGGAAUAUUGGUGAAUGGGCGAAAGCCUGAACCAGCAACGCCGCGUGUGCGAUGAAGGCCUUCGGGUUGUAAAGCACUUUUCACUGGGAAGAGGAAGGACGGUACCAGUGGAAUAAGCCUCGGCUAACUACGUGCCAGCAGCCGCGGUAAAACGUAGGAGGCGAGCGUUAUCCGGAUUUACUGGGUGUAAAGCGCGUGCAGGCGGCUCGUUAAGUUGGGUGUGAAAGCUCCUGGCUCAACCGGGAGAGGUCGCUCAAGACUGGCGGGCCAGAGAGUGNUAGAGGAAGGUGGAAUUCCGGGUGUAGUGGUGAAAUGCGUAGAUAUCCGGAGGAACACCAGUGGCGAAAGCGGCCUUCUGGGCCACAUCUGACGCUCAGACGCGAAAGCUAGGGUAGCAAACGGGAUUAGAGACCCCGGUAGUCCUAGCCGUAAACNAUGUGAACUUGGCGCGNUCGNNAAAACCGGUCCGUGCCGCANCCA